CCUACGGGUGGCUGCAGUGGGGAAUAUUGGACAAUGGGCGAAAGCCUGAUCCAGCCAUGCCGCGUGUGUGAAGAAGGCCUUCGGGUUGUAAAGCACUUUCAGUGGGGAAGAAAGCCUUGGGGCUAAUACCCUCGAGGAAGGACAUCACCCACAGAAGAAGCACCGGCUAACUCCGUGCCAACAGCCGCGGUAAUACGGAGGGUGCGAGCGUUAAUCGGAAUUACUGGGCGUAAAGCGCGCGUAGGCGGUCUGAUAAGCCGGUUGUGAAAGCCCCGGGCUCAACCUGGGAACGGCAUCCGGAACUGUCAGGCUAGAGUGCAGGAGAGGAAGGUAGAAUUCCCGGUGUAGCGGUGAAAUGCGUAGAGAUCGGGAGGAAUACCAGUGGCGAAGGCGGCCUUCUGGACUGACACUGACGCUGAGGUGCGAAAGCGUGGGUAGCAAACAGGAUUAGAUACCCCAGUAGUC
rnacentral:rRNA from 1 species